GAGUUUGAUCUUGGCUCAGAUUGAACGCUGGCGGCAUGCCUUACACAUGCAAGUCGAACGGCAGCACGGGAGCUUGCUCCUGGUGGCGAGUGGCGAACGGGUGAGUAAUGCAUCGGAACGUAUCCUGGAGUGGGGGAUAACGUAGCGAAAGUUACGCUAAUACCGCAUAUUCUGUGAGCAGGAAAGCGGGGGACCUUCGGGCCUCGCGCUCUUGGAGCGGCCGAUGUCGGAUUAGCUAGUUGGUGAGGUAAAGGCUCACCAAGGCGACGAUCCGUAGCAGGUCUGAGAGGAUGAUCUGCCACACUGGAACUGAGACACGGUCCAGACUCCUACGGGAGGCAGCAGUGGGGAAUUUUGGACAAUGGGGGCAACCCUCGAUCCAGCCAUGCCGCGUGAGUGAGAAGGCUCGGUGUAG
rnacentral:rRNA from 1 species